rnacentral:rRNA from 1 species
AAAUUGAAGAGUUUGAUCAUGGCUCAGAUUGAACGCUGGCGGCAGGCCUAACACAUGCAAGUCGAACGGUAACAGGAAGAAGCUUGCUUCUUUGCUGACGAGUGGCGGACGGGUGAGUAAUGUCUGGGAAACUGCCUGAUGGAGGGGGAUAACUACUGGAAACGGUAGCUAAUACCGCAUAACGUCGCAAGACCAAAGAGGGGGACCCUCGGGCCUCUUGCCAUC